rnacentral:rRNA from 1 species
CGAAGGCGGCGUGCUUAACACAUGGAACAUGAUGCCCGCUUGCUGGGCGGAUUAGUGGCGAACGGGUGAGUAAUACGUGAGUAACCUACUCUGGGAUAAGCCUGGGAAACUGGGUCUAAUAUACUACUUCUUACCGCAUGGUGGGUGGUGGAAAGGGUUUUACUGGUUUUGGAUGGGCUCACGGCCUAUCAGCUUGUUGGUGGGGUAAUGGCUCACCAAGGCGACGACGGGCCGGCCUGAGAGUGACCGGCCCUGGGACUGAGACACGGCCCAGACACGGGAGGCAGCAGUGGGGAAUAUUGCACAAUGGGCGGAAGCCUGAUGCAGCGACGCCGCGUGAGGGAUGACGGCCUCGGGUUGUAAACCUCUUUCAGUAAGAAGAGAGUGACGGUACCUGCAGAAGAAGCGCCGGCUACUACGUGCCAGCAGCCGCGGUAAUACGUAGGGCGCAAGCGUUGUCCGGAAAUUAUUGGGCGUAAAGAGCUGGCGGUUUGUCGCGUCUGCUGUGAAAGCCCGCUCAACCCCGGGUCUAGUGGGUACGGGCAGACUAGACAGUAGGGGAGACUGGAAUUCCUGGUGUAGCGGUGACAGAUAUCAGGAGGAACACCGAUGGCGACAGGUCUCUGGGCUGUUACUGACGUUGAGGAGCGAAAGCAUGGGGAGCGAACAGGAUUAGAUACCCCUGGUAGUCGCCAAACGUUGGGCACUAGGUGUGGGGGACAUUCCACGUUUUUCCGCGCCGUAGCUAACGCAUUAAGUGCCCC